AGUGAACGCUGGCGGUAGGCCUAACACAUGCAAGUCGAACGGCAGCACAGUAAGAGCUUGCUCUUACGGGUGGCGAGUGGCGGACGGGUGAGGAAUACAUCGGAAUCUACUUUUUCGUGGGGGAUAACGUAGGGAAACUUACGCUAAUACCGCAUACGACCUACGGGUGAAAGCAGAGGAUCUUCGGACCUUGCGCGAUUGAAUGAGCCGAUGUCGGAUUAGCUAGUUGGCGGGGUAAAGGCCCACCAAGGCGACGAUCCGUAGCUGGUCUGAGAGGAUGAUCAGCCACACUGGAACUGAGACACGGUCCAGACUCCUACGGGAGGCAGCAGUGGGGAAUAUUGGACAAUGGGCGCAAGCCUGAUCCAGCCAUACCGCGUGGGUGAAGAAGGCCUUCGGGUUGUAAAGCCCUUUUGUUGGGAAAGAAAAGCAGCAGGUUAAUACCCCGCUGUUCUGACGGUACCCGAAGAAUAAGCACCGGCUAACUUCGUG
rnacentral:rRNA from 1 species